GACGAACUGUGCAAACGUUAUUCGGAAUCACUGGGCUUGAAGAGUGCGUAGGCGGUUUUGUAAGUAGGGUGUGAAAUCCCCCGGCUCAACCGGGGAAUUGCGUCCUAGACUGCAAGGCGGGAGUGAGGUAGGGGUGUGUGGAACUUCUAGUGGAGCGGUGAAAUGUGUUGAUAUUAGAAGGAACGCCGGUGGCGAAAGCGACACACUGGACCUUGUCUGACGCUGAGGCACGAAAGCCAGGGGAGGCAAACAGGGG
rnacentral:rRNA from 1 species